GUGGCCAAAACCACCCACAUGGUACAAGGCUUCUUCUUGUCUGCUUUUUAAUUUCAUCCCAAUUCAUGAAAAAUUUAAACACAAAGAAGUUAUUAUUACCUAGCUAGGUACCACAACUGUUGUUGCCAAUCACAAGUACCAAAAUACAAAGCAGUGGGAUGAAAACUAACACUGUGCCAAAUACGUAUACAAAAGGAACUAAGACACCAUUGUUUGGUUCAACACCCACAUUUGAUAGCUGGUCCGUCUAUUUCUUUCUCCAUUUUAGCAGAGAAACGCCUGCAACCAUAGGUUUAUGAAUAUGUAUAGAUGUUGCUUUUUAUUAGGGAUCCAAUGAAACUGAAGGAAGAAUGUGCCUGACAAUGGCAGGUGUGAUAAUAGACUAUUGUUAAAUGCAAGACUCUUACUUAGGAAUACCUUGUGGGGAAUCCUUAUAGUGUUAGCAAAACAAAGAGAGGGGUGUGGACCUUGAACUUUCUUCUAAGAGAUACAAGGAAAAUACUAAGAGUGCAGGGAGUCAUCUCUAAGGCUCUGGUUACAAGAAAGACUUUAGAGAACCACGUCGAAAGCUUUUACAUCCAAAGAAGCUUAUUAUGUGACACGAAAGAGCACUCUAAAUAGAUAAGUUGCUAUUAUAGUGUUUGACACUGAUUAGAUUGGUCACCU
rnacentral:lncRNA from 1 species